rnacentral:rRNA from 1 species
CCAGCAGCCGCGGUAAUUCCAGCUCCAAUAGCGUAUAUUAAAGUUGUUGCAGUUAAAAAGCUCGUAGUCGGACUUCUGGCAGCACUGCGCGGUCCGCCGCAAGGUGUGCACUGUGCGGUGUUGCCAUCCUCCUGAGGACCGUACGUGCCCUUAACUGGGUGGGUACGGGACUCAGGACCUUUACUUUGAAAAAAUUAGAGUGUUCAAAGCAGGCCUUCGCUUGAAUACAUUAGCAUGGAAUAAUGGAAUAGGACUUUGGUUCUAUUUUGUUGGUUUCUAGGACCGAAGUAAUGAUUAAUAGGGAUAGUUGGGGGCAUUAGUAUUUAAUUGUCAGAGGUGAAAUUCUUGGAUUUAUGAAAGACU